rnacentral:rRNA from 1 species
AGAAUCCUGUGAACCAUCAAGUCUUUGAACGCAAGUUGCACCCGAAGCCAUCAGGUCGAGGGCACGUCUGCUUGGGUGUCACAU